AGACGUCUACAUUAGAUACCCCCCGUAGUCCCAGCCGUAAACUAUGCGCGUUAGGUGUAUCGGUGACCACGAGUCACCGAGGUGCCGAAGGGAAACCGUGAAACGUGCCGCCUGGGAAGUACGGUCGCAAGGCUGAAACUUAAAGGAAUUGGCGGGGAGCACCACAACGGGUGGAGCCUGCGGUUUAAUUGGACUCAACGCCGGGAAGCUCACCGGAUAAGACAGCGGAAUGAUUGCCGGGCUGAAGACUCUGCAUGACUAGCUG
rnacentral:rRNA from 1 species